AUGUUUGCAACUUUGACCCAGCUUUGCUUAUUCCUCAUAGUGUUCGACUACAGUUAUAGAGACUAUAUUCUCUCCUGGUACGGGCACCUCAGCAGAGAUGAAGGACAGCUCUACUAUCUGCUCUUGGAUGACUUUUGGGAAAUUGCCAAGCAGAUUCGCCACAGGCUGAGUCACGUGGAUGUGGUUAAAGUCGUCUGUAAUGAUAUUGUAAAGGCUUUGCUCACUCACUUCUGUGACUUGAAAGCUGCCAAUGCCAGACAUGAAGAGCAACCAAGGCCUUUUGUGUUACAUGAAUGCUUGAAGGACUCACAUGAUGAAGUAAGAUUCCUUCAGACGUGUUCCCGGGUGCUGGUGUUUUGCCUUCUCCCUUCGAAGGAUAUCCAGUCUCUCAGCUUACGUAUAAUGCUCUCAGAAAUUCUCACAACAAAAGUCUUGAAGCCAGUGGUGGAGUUACUAAGUAACCCUGAUUACAUUAACCAAAUGCUCCUUGCCCAGUUGGAGUACAGAGAGCAGAUGAAUGAGCACCACAAGAGAGCCUACACGUACGCGCCUUCUUAUGAGGAAUUCAUCAAGCUCAUCAACAGCAACUCUGAUGUGGAGUUCCUGAAGCAGCUCAGGUAUCAAAUUGUAGUGGAAAUAAUCCAAGCAACUACAAUUAGCAGCUUCCCCCAACUGAAGAGGCACAAGGGUAAGGAAUCAGCUGCCAUGAAAACAGACCUCUUGAGGGCCAGGAACAUGAAAAGGUACAUUAACCAGCUGACAGUGGCAAAGAAGCAGUGUGAGAAGAGGAUCCGCGUCCUGGGAGGCCCUGCCUACGACCAGCAAGAGGAUGGGGCCUUGGAUGAAGGAGAAGGGCCUCAGAGCCAGAAGAUUCUUCAGUUUGAAGACAUUAUGACCAAUCCUUUCUACCGAGAGCGCUUUGGAACAUACAUGGAGCGGACGGACAAGCGGACUCUGAUUGGCUUUUGGGAGGCUGUGGAACACCUGAAGAAUGCUAACAAGAAUGAAAUCCCACAAUUGGUUGGUGAAAUCUAUCAGAAUUUCUUUGUGGAAAGCAAGGAGAUCCCUGUGGAAAAGUCACUGUACAAAGAGAUCCAGCAGUGUCUGGUAGGAAACAAGGGCAUUGAGGUGUUCAGCAAACUCCAAGGAGAUGUGUACGAGGCGCUGAGGGAUAGGUAUUACCCUUCCUUCAUCGUCAGCGACCUGUACGAGAAGCUGAUGGUGAAAGAGGAAGAAAAGCAGGAUUCGCAGCUGGCUUCGGAUAAGGACGAACGGGGCUCAGGAGGCGAGACUGGUGAGGAAGCAGUAGAAGGCACCAGUGGGAUUACUGAUCAGACCAGCUUUGCUGUAAACAAACUUCGAGAGCUAAGUGAGAAGCUUGAGUAUAAAAGGCAAGCUCUGAGUUCUAUUCAAAAUGCACCAAAGCCUGAUAAGAAGAUUAUUUCCAAAUUGAAGGAUGAAAUACUGCUAAUAGAGAAAGAAUGCACAGAUCUUCAGCUGCACAUGGCAAGAACAGACUGGUGGUGUGAGAACCUGGGCCUGUGGAGAGCAUCCAUCACCAGCGCAGAGGUGACAGAAGAGAAUGGCGAGCAAAUGCCUUGUUACUACGUCAGGGUAAAUCUACAAGAAGUUGGAGGGGUUGAAACUAAGAACUGGACAGUCCCAAGAAGGCUCAGUGAGUUUCAGAAUUUACAUCGGAAACUCAGUGAGUGUGUCCCAUCUUUAAAAAAAGUCCAGUUGCCUUCUCUCAGUAAGCUGCCUUUCAAAUCUAUAGAUCACAAGUUUCUGGAAAAGUCAAAGAAUCAAUUAAAUAAGUUUUUACAGAACCUGCUUUCAGAUGAAAGACUCUUUCAGAGCGAAGCACUUUAUGCCUUUUUGAGCCCUUCUCCUGACUACCUCAAGGUUAUUGAUGUACAGGGGAAAAAACCCUCCUUUUCAUUAACUUCAUUUUUGGAAAAACUUCCUCGUGACUUCUUCUCCCAUCAGGAGGAGGAGAUAGAAGAAGACAGCGACUUGUCAGAUUACGGUGAUGAUGUGGAUGGGAAGAAGGAUGCCUUGGCUGAACCUUGUUUCAUGCUGAUCGGGGAAAUUUUUGAACUUCGAGGAAUGUUUAAAUGGGUGCGAAGAACAUUAAUUGCUCUCGUUCAGGUCACUUUUGGAAGAACCAUCAACAAACAAAUCCGGGACACAGUGAACUGGAUAUUCAGCGAGCAGAUGCUGGUUUACUACAUCAAUGCUUUCCGGGAUGCUUUUUGGCCAAAUGGGAAAUUGGCACCGCCAACUAGAAUCAGGAAUGAAGCCCAAAGCCGGGAAACAAAACAGAGAGCACAGCAAAAGCUACUCGAAAACAUUCCAGACACACUCCAGAGCCUUGUUGGACAGCAGAAUGCCCGCCAUGGUAUAAUAAAGGUAUUCAAGGCUCUGCAAGAAACGAGAGCCAACAAGCACCUGUUAUAUGUGCUGAUGGAGCUGCUGCUGACUGAGCUAUGUCCCGAGCUGAGGACUCACCUGGAUCAGUUCAAAGCUGGUCAAGUCUGAGACAGCACAUAGCAACCUCCAGAGAAAUCACUAUUUCCAAAAGCGCUUUCGGGAAAAAGGAGCUCAGUUUGGCUUACAGUUGCAGAGGGACAGAGCGCUUUAUGGUGGAGAGGCACGGCAGCAAGCGGCAGGGCCCAGCAGCAGGAGCAGGAAACUGAGGUCUCACAUCUUCACCCCAAACCAGAGUGAACGGAAGUAAGGAACUAGUUCUACAGGAAUGCCCUUGACUGUACUUAUGUGGGAAUGGAACCCGUGCCCUUCAAAGUGUUGAGAGUUCAGAAUAUUAACCAAUAUUCACAAGACCAGACUGCAAGUGGUGAAGCUACAGACUGAAACCUCUGGGGAAGCCAGGAGUAGAAAACCUGCACGCAUAUCAAAGUUAGCAUUUUAACCCUAUGGAUAGCUAGUGAACACAGCAAGGAACUGCAGUGCUCUAUCCACCAAAUUAGAAUGGCGGCGAUAAUCUGAUUCAGAAAGGUCCUAAAACUUAGCUGAGAAAAAAGAAGAUAACCUAAAUAGAAUCAUGAUCACAGCAUGUAACAUGACAGCUGGCACAAUCAAGAGCUGCUGAUUGAGUCUGAGACCACUGCUCACUGCCAGACAGGCACUCAAAUGCAGUCGGUGCAUGCACUGGGCAGUCUUGCAGAAAACCAUGUUUCUUUAAAGAGAAAGUACUUGCUUCCAUGCCCUCCCUUUCCGGUGUGGCAAGUUUACAUCAUUUUCUGAAACAAGAAGGAAAAAGUAGGAGUAAAGCUAUCAUAACAACCCGCUAGGCUGUGGAGGAUGGCCUCAAGAAUUUGCUGGAGGCAGGCACUUCGGUCAACGCACCCCCGGAUCCCCACGAGCAGUCCCCUGU